GUGCUCGCUUCGGCAGCACAUAUACUAAAAUUUGAAUGAUACAGAGAUUAGCAUGGCCCCUGUGCAAGGAUGACACAGCCAAUAGGAAUUCAAGGGACGCCAAUUAGUU